GACGAACGCUGGCGGCGUGCCUAACACAUGCAAGUCGAACGGUGAAGCGCCUUCCUUUUUGGUGGGUGUGGAUGAGUGGCGAACGGGUGAGUAACACGUGAGUAACCUGCCCCCUUCUUCUGGAUAACCGCAUGAAAGUGUGGCUAAUACGGGAUAUUCUGGGUCUGUCGCAUGAUGGGUCUGGGAAAGAUAUUGUUUCGGUGGGGGAUGGGCUCGCGGCCUAUCAGCUUGUUGGGGGGGUGAUGGCCUACCAAGGCGGUGACGGGUAGCCGGCCUGAGAGGGUGGACGGUCACACUGGGACUGAGACACGGCCCAGACUCCUACGGGAGGCAGCAGUGGGGAAUAGUGCACAAUGGGCGCAAGCCUGAUGCAGCGACGCCGCGUGAGGGAUGGAGGCCUUCGGGUUGUGAACCUCUUUCGCCAGUGAAGCAGGCCUGCCUCGUUUGUGGGUGGGUUGACGGUAGCUGGAUAAGAAGCGCCGGCUAACUACGUG
rnacentral:rRNA from 1 species